GUGGGGAAUAUUGCGCAAUGGGCGAAAGCCUGACGCAGCGACGCCGCGUGAGGGAUGAAGGUUUUCGGAUCGUAAACCUCUGUCAGAAGGGAAGAAACUACAUUGUGCUAAUCAGCAGUGUACUGACGGUACCUUCAAAGGACGCACCGGCUAACUCCGUGCCAGCAGCCGCGGUAAUACGGCGGGUGCAAGCGUUAAUCGGAAUUACUGGGCGUAAAGCGCACGUAGGCUGUAGUGUAAGUCAGGGGUGAAAUCCCACGGCUCAACCGUGGAACUGCCUUUGAUGCUGAACAACUUGAAUCCGGGAGAGGGUGGCGGAAGUCCAGGUGUAGGAGUGAAAUCCGUAGAUAUCUGGAGGAACAUCAGUGGCGAAGGCGGCCACCUGGACCGGUAUUGACGCUGAGGUGCGAAAGCGUGGGGAGCAAACAGGAUUAGAAACCCUUGUAGUCC
rnacentral:rRNA from 1 species